UACGUAGGGUGCGAGCGUUAAUCGGAAUUACUGGGCGUAAAGCGCGCGCAGGCGGCGAUCUACGUCUGGGGUGAAAGCCCGGAGCUCAACUCCGGGACUGCCUUGGAUACGGGAUCGCUUGAGGAUUGGAGAGGCAAGGGGAAUUCCACGUGUAGCGGUGAAAUGCGUAGAUAUGUGGAGGAACACCUGUGGCGAAGGCGCCUUGCUGGCCAAUUUCUGACGCUGAGGCGCGAAAGCGUGGGGAGCAAACAGG
rnacentral:rRNA from 1 species